UGUGUUGUUAUAACACAGUACAGACCUUUUUUCCCUUUUCUCUCUGAAGUGCUUCCUCACUGGUUCCUGUACCCACGGCUAGCCACUGGCACGACCACAUAUCAGUGGGUUUCCACAACCUGGACAGUGGGGUGACGCCCAAUUCAUCUCCCAGUCCAACUAGACGGUUUAGAGGGGGCUCAGUCAACUCUGCAGUGAGGUGGCCGUCGUUGACUCCGCUGAAAAGAAAAGGAGGCGUGGAAUCUGAUGGACCUCCCAAAAAGCUCUUUGUUGCCGGAGUGACAGAACCUGCUCAUGUAACGAGUUACACGGUCAGUGUCUCCCAGCCUGACGGCUCCUCAGCGGGGGGGUUGGCGGUGUGCACGAGCCCCCAGAACAGUCCCAUAUCCCUCUCCCCUCCACCCCAAUUCUCCCCCCAUCACCCGAGCAUCUAGGAGCUCCACACAUGUGUUCAGCCUCCCAGCCCGAGACGUGGUGCGCACCUGCAGCAGGGUUCAGGAUUUAGGAUGACCUAAACAGUGUGCAGUAGUCAGAGCUGGGGACUCAGCUAAACAGUGUGCAGUAGUCAGAGCUGGGGUCUCAGCGAAGGGCCGCAUGUUGAUACGAAGGCUUCAACCCCAUUCUGGCAAUCAGUUUUGUAUACCAUUACAGCGAGAUGGACUUUACAAUCGGCACAAUGUUUUUAAGGUUAAAGACAUAUUAUGGACACUUUCCGUCUCUUCUACACCCAGUUCUUGAAUCAGUCAGGUGUCUAAGAGUGAAGUAGACGGCAUAAAAGACCUAAGUUUGUUGAGAUAUCAGGAACCGCCCGAGAUGUUUCAUCAAUGACAUCCCAAGGGUGGAGUGCAGUGGUGAUAUGUAGGGUGUGUAUCAAGAGAGGCAUAGCACUUAAAUAUUGGACAUGUUUUGGUCUCUGAAUCCUACGGUUGGACAUAAGAUAUAUGGUGUCUAAUUAUAUUACAUAUUAGACAUUAGUACUCUUACGGGAUCCGUACCUGAAGUAUUUGAGUUGCGACUAAUUUGUUUGGCCUGUCCGCAGAAUGUUAGAAUGUUGAGCCCACUCGUUAGUGUAAAAUCAAAGUGAAUUAUUUUUCUUUCUUAUCCUUACAGAAUUGAGAGAAUGUCCUCUGUUGUUCUGUCAGCAACUGUAUCUAGUAUGGUCCAAAGAGGUCUUCCAAUACGAAGUCCAGAUAUUUUUUUAAGUCCUUCAGAAAUCAGAUAGUGAGGAAAUACUCAAGAGGUAAUGGCCGUUAUACCUGUGUUUGUUUUAUACGUGUACAGUUUGUGAAUAUAAGAAAACUCAAAUAUAUAUAUGUGAACCCUUGACAACGCCAAGCUGUUGGCUCAGUGGGUUAGCUUUGCUAGGCAGUCAAUCAUAGUUAAGAAUGUCCCAAUCAUUGAGCUCACAAUUCUAGACGUAAACUUGUCCUUCAUGCGUCACCCCUAAGUUUCAGCAUUUGUUUUCACAGUAGCGCAAAGGUGACAUGGAUCCAGUGGGGAGACAUGCUAGUUCUUUUAGGGGGGUACCCAAGGACCAGGUUUUGGAAAUCUUGCCUCACAGUCAGGGAAUCAUGGGUACUUCAGAAGAGGGAAUCAGGGAUUAGAAAACCGUAAUAUUUCAAUUUACCCGACUCUUGGUAUUAUAUGUGGUCUUGAGGAUCACAUAUCGGAAAUGUCACAGUAAAUUGUUUUUCUUUUCCCUAUAUUGACUGUGAUGUAGAGUUGUAUUUAUAAUCCUUUGAUCUGCGCAUGACUCAUAUGUAAAAAUUUGUAUCAUGCUGCUUAGAGAAGAAUCUUACACAUUCAGGAAUAACUUAGAUGGUGAUUGUUUUGUGUUCCUCUCAUAAGACCUUGUUGAAUAUAAAUUUCACAUUAACGAAAGAUGUGAUUCUAUUUGCGAUACCUUGUUUUGUUUUGCUUCCAACUUUGACUAUUUGCACAGUAUUUGAUGGAUGAUCUAUAUUGCUGUUACAUGAGUGGGGAUCAUAUUUACAAUUAUAUCCUUUCAUUUUUGUUUAUUUGUUUGGCUUCAACGUUAUGACAAUGUUGAGUUCGGGCAUUGAGCCACUAUCCUAUCCUUUAUUCCUCUCUCUUUAAAGAGAAAGAUAUGUAGAAAGACAGAUUCUUCUCAAGUCAGAUAAUAAUCUUUUACGUAUCAAUGACUCAAGACCAUGUCCAGAUAAGAAAAUGGUUUCUUAUGUGAAGACCUUUUGAGUCCGUUGGCACUGCUAGGAUCAACCAGAGGGGCAACACCCAAAUCUAAAUGUUAAGAUAUUGGCCUAUAUAUUUAGAGUAUGCCAUUCCAAGCUUUUCUUCAAAUACUCAUUUGCUAUGUAAUACAAAUGAAAGAAAGGUAAACCACAAUACAGAAUUCAGAAUUAAUUGUGUAUUUUAAUCAGAUGUUUAAAUUACCCAGAAUUCCACAAAAAACACUGUAAUGCGUUUCAGUUCCAAUGUUGUACAGGAAAUAACAUAGACGCUGCCCUUCGAUAACUUACAUUUAGGACACGCUUUAAAAAUCAAAUCAAAUCUCUUGUAUAAUCCAGUCCUCAUUUGUGACAUGCUACUUUGUGUCUUUUGAGACUUGAAGAAUCUUACAGUUCAAAACUGUAUGCAGCCAGUUGAAUGUGCCGCCAGCAAUGUUAGCAUUUUCCUACCAACUCCUCCACGAGAUUUUGCAACAGAGCCCGUAGCCACUGUGUUCUGGACAGAAAAACGUCAUGGACGCCUUAUACGUUUCUUGAUUUGUUUAUGUAGCAGGUCCAUGUUUAAACUAUCAUCACAGAUUGCAUAGCCCAGAAGCCUGUUUUGGCACAAGACUAUUUUCGCAGUAGUUGUCAGACCGUAGAGGAAGUUUAACUUCCAAAAAGUAUUCCAAAAAGUAUUGCACACAACAGCGUCUCUGCUUGGCCUUAUGUGAUGCGACUCUGUGGCCAACGAGUAUAAUUGUAUAAUUAAGUAUAAUUGCCACUGAUUUAAAAGUGAAUAGUAUUUGUGUACAAAUAAACACAUAGCAGAACUCUGCAUAAUAAAGACUUUUGACACCCCUCAACUCCAGUAGGUGAGGAUUUGAAAUCAAGAUGAAACGCACAGAAACUUUGUUUUAGUCCUGGCUUAAUUUAGUACACAUUUUAGGGCACAUAGUCUACCUUGCUUUUAAAUACUGACGGCAAAAUAUUUGCACAGCACUGUGUACAUGCAGUAUAGUGUAUGUCUUCACAUCUACAAGUAUUUCAACACAUUUUUCCAAAACCAUUACAUUACAUUAGGCUGGUUGUCCACCUGUUUAGCAGUGCCUACAUCAGUAGCAGUCCCAAAAAUGUUGCCAAAUAUUUUUUUGACUUUAUAACCUUGAACAGGAAUACAAAUGUAUUUUCUUGUUGCAAUGUUUUUCUUUUUUUAGUAUUAUUGUUUCUUUUCUUUAUGCUCCAUGACCUUUGGUUAGUGUUUCGUUUUGUGUUGUUGUUUUUCUUCUUCUUUUCUUUUUACUUCUUUUUUUCUGGAUUGCCUGUAAAAUAACAGUCACGGUUACGACCAACAAUAUAACCUCCAACAGUAAUGACUGGUUUCAGGGUGCAGACAGGCAGAAGGCUUCUCACAGGACCCCUGAGCUACGGCCCGCUGUGAACAUACUAACGCUUGCUUGGUGUUCCAUCUUAUCUCUUUACCCAGCUGAGCCCUGGUCUUUUUCAGUUACUCUCAUUCAAUUUGAUUGUGAAAUGCCAUAGGAAAACUUAAUUGGCAGAUUAUUGUAAAUAUCAUAGAAAAAUUAUAAAAUAGCAUUUGACCUUUUGACCCGUUAUCUAAAAGCUUUGUAAACAAAGAGCAGAUCUGUCAGUGAUUGAAUCAUGGGUGUGUGUGUGUAGCAGUAUUAAAAGAGGGGUAUAAAAGGCUUUAAGAAUGAGAGGCCACACAGGAGAAGAAGGACUGGACAUUUUUUUGUUUGUUUUUGGCGUUCACCACUGCCAGUGCCUCAUGUUUGGCAGUUGAUCUUAUGUUGUAAAUGCUUUUAAAAUCCAAGUCAUGAGAAUAGAAAAGGAUUUUUGUGUGUAUUUUUUAUGAAGCUGUAACAUACAAAGCUGAAAGCAAAGCAGAUACGUUCCAUUUCCUGUAAUUAUCUCAUGAUAAAGUUGACUGACAAGAAAAAUGUCACAUUUUUAUUGAAAAAAAAAGAAAAAUGCUGCACACUUUUAGUACAUAUAUAUUGUAUAUGAAUGCAAUCAUGAUAAUAAAAUUCUUAUUAUAUCAUGAA